rnacentral:tRNA from 1 species
UAGAUUGAAGCCAGUUGCUUAGGGUAUUUAGCUGUUAACUAAUAUUUUAUGGGUUAGAGUCCCAUCAAUCUAG